rnacentral:rRNA from 1 species
AGAGUUUGAUCCUGGCUCAGAUUGAACGCUGGCGGCAUGCCUUACACAUGCAAGUCGAACGCGAAAGGGGGCAACCCCGAGUAGAGUGGCGAACGGGUGAGCAAUACAUCGGAACGUGUCCUGUAGCGGGGGACAACACAUCGAAAGAUGUGCUAAUACCGCAUACGAUCUACGGAUGAAAGUGGAGGACCGCAAGGCCCCACACUAUAGGAGCGGCCGAUGCCGGAUUAGCUUGUUGGCGGGGUAAAAGCCCACCAAGGCGACGAUCCGUAGCUGGUUUGAGAGAACGACCAGCCACACUGGGACUGAGACACGGCCCAGACUCCUACGGGAGGCAGCAGUGGGGAAUUUUGGACAAUGGGCGCAAGCCUGAUCCAGCCAUGCCGCGUGAGUGAAGAAGGCCUUCGGGUUGUAAAGCUCUUUCGGCCGGGACGAAAUGGCGCGGGGUAAUAUCCCGCGUCGAUGACGGUACCGGAAGAAGAAGGACCGGCUAACUACGUGCCAGCAGCCGCGGUA